GCGCACCUGGUCUCUGUCAGCGGCG
rnacentral:piRNA from 1 species